GACGAACGCUGGCGGCGUGGAUUAGGCAUGCAAGUCGAACGGUAGGAUACCUUCGGGUAUCUGAGAGUGGCGAACGGGUGAGUAACACGUAGGUGAUCUACCCUCAAGAUUGGGACAACCCAGGGAAACUUGGGCUAAUACCGGAUGAAAGCAGCAGUGAUGUUGUUUGAAAGGUGGCGUAAGCUGCCGUUUGGGGAUGAGCCUGCGCUCUAUUAGUUAGUUGGCGGGGUAAAGGCCCACCAAGGCGAUGAUAGAUAGGCGGCCUUAACGGGUGGUCGCCCACACUGGGAUUGAGAUACGGCCCAGACUCCUACGGGAGGCAGCAGUCGAGAAUAGUCUACAAUGGCCGAAAGGCUGAUAGUGCGACGCCGCGUGAACGAAGAAGCCCUUCGGGUGUAAAGUUCUUUUAUUAUGUGAGCAGUGCUUUCUAUGUUGAACAGCAUGGGGAGAGAGAUAUUAGCAUAUGAAUAAGCAACGGCUAACUCCGUGCCAGCA
rnacentral:rRNA from 1 species